CCUACGGGUGGCAGCAGUGGGGAAUAUUGCGCAAUGGACGAAAGCCUGACGCAGCGACGCCGCGUGAGGGAUGAAGGUCUUCGGAUCGUAAACCUCUGUCAGCAGGGAAGAACAGUCACUUUACUAAUCAGCAGUGCAUUGACGGUACCUGCAAAGGAAGCACCGGCUAACUCCGUGCCAGCAGCCGCGGUAAUACGGAGGGUGCGAGCGUUGAUCGGAAUUACUGGGCGUAAAGCGAGCGUAGGCGGUAUGUCAAGUCAAGGGUGAAAUCCCCGGGCUCAACGUGGGAACUGCCGUUGAAACUGGCAAACUGGAGUGUGGGAGAGGAGAGUGGAAUUCCAGGUGUAGGAGUGAAAUGCGUAGAUAUCGGGAGGAACACCAGUGGCGAAGGCGACUAGCUGGAACAUAACUGACGCUGAGGAGCGAAAGCGUGGGUAGCAAACAGGAUUAGAUACCCGGGUAGUC
rnacentral:rRNA from 1 species